CCUGCAGCAGAAAGAAAGAAAAGAAAAUUAAAAAAAAAGAGGGAGUACUUUGCAGAGCCUGUCUCGGGGCGUGUUUUCUGUAGUAAACAGAUGAUUUGAAUCCCCUAACGGGACCCUGCUUUGGCAUGUGACUGUUCUAAAUCAUAAAGCAAUUCAAAAAGGUUAAAAUUAGGUCACCUCCAAAGCAACACGCUUCUUGUAGUAUCACUGCCCGAGAAAACAUUUUGAUCGCUUUAAAAGGACUCAGAGAGCUUGGUGUUUUCUGUCGCAUUUACCGAGCAGUGUGAUAAACCCUCUUUCUAGGAUUCAUUUUGGCCCUUGGCACCAAGUGAACAUAUAGCACGUAGGACAUACAGACUACACCACACAGCAUGAUUCCCAGCCGAUGGGCAUUGCCCAGCUCCGCUCCCCUCCGCAGAGCUAUCCCAUUUUACCAGUGCAAUCCCCAUUACCGGGGAUGCACUCCUUUGGAAAAUGAUUUUGUCAAUGAAAUGUCACCAAAAUACUCUCAAGUGCACUGAUAUUCAUAUAUUGCUACUAUCACAUCCCAGGCAGUAAGAAUAUCAUUUUCUUAUAGCUUCUCAGCCACUGAAUCAGCACAGUGAUCACAAUAUUCCCAUGUAUUCCUAUAGAUCUACGUAAGUGUAGGGAAAAAAAUUGACUGAGAAGUUUUAAGCUCUCUCCUCUUUUCUGUAGAUAGUUACUAAUUACUAAUAAGCUUAUUAUACUCAAACCAUUCUUAUACAUAUAUCUGAAUAUUUUUUGAUGACUUUGGUUUUAUGAAAUCCUUUUUGAACUAUGUCUUAGUCUUUAAUUAGUUUAAUCUGAAAUGUGAGUGAGAUCUUUAAACCAAAAAUGCAGACAGAAAGGGGCUUUAAAAAAUAAAAGCUUCACCAACCAAAAGGGUAUAUCUUGAUCUCUACAUCAGUAAGAAAGCCAUUAAGUAUAUUUAUAUAAAUCAAACUUAAAAACCACACUUCUACAUUCAGCUGUCACCUAGCUCCCUUUGACUGCAAUGAAAUAGAGGCAGUUUGAAACCAAAGUAUUUUUGAGAGUAUGUAGGGAAAAAUUACCGUUCACCAGAUUUGGCUCUGAUAGACUGUAUGAAUCCUUCAUAUAUUUGCCCUCCAAGCUCUUUAUCUCUAAAUCAGCUGUCACAGGUGCAAAGCAUUGCUGAACUCAAGCCUGUAAGGACUCACGGGUCCCAUACGCAUUAAGGACCAAGGUGGUUAAAGGCUGGAAGCAAGCAUCAGCCUGGAGAAAUGCAUCUGCCUCUUCCAUUGGCUGCUUGUCUUGUAGCAGUCAUCUACAUCUAUGAAACCAUCUUGUACCAUCUUCCUACUUACACUCCAGGGAAGUGCCAUUUUGAAGAUGGUGAGGGGUCACGGGCAUAUUCAGCAAGAAAUAUCUGCCGGUGAACUGCAUACCUUGGAAAAAGCAUUUCAGAGACUUGGGAGAAGUCAGAUGGCAAACACUGAGCCCAACUACUGCUCCCCCUCUUCAGCCUCAUUCAACAAAUCCACACACAUGGUUUCAAAACCAUGCUGAAGUUCUUUUGAAUGCACUGAAGGCCUGCAUUAGGAGGGAAGGAGGGUCUCCGCAGAGAACAUCCAAAACCUCAGAUAUAAUGAAGAAAUUAAAAAAGAAUGAGAUUUUGUAUAUUCCUGAGAUGCUGGAUCAUUGAGAACUACCACGACGGAAACAUGACAUCGAUAAUUAAGUGAUCAUUCCCUGAAAAACCCUAAAGUUUAUGUCAAGGAUUGACGUUUUAUCCAAACAUACAUAUUAAGGAGAAAAGAUUUCUCUUUUUUCCUCCAGACUCCGCAGAGGCUGGGUGAUUGUUGCUCCGGUCUUUUCCAGAUAUGGAGCAGACAUCAACCCCUGAAUGAUUUGCACUCCAAAAUAACAUCUUGGAAGGUCUUAACUGCUGAAAACAUUUGUAUAAGGAUUUUUAUACUAUGAGAUAACAUGUGAAAACGAAGCCCCAGUGCAUUUUUCAUGUUUGAAGACUUGUUGCCCAUAAUUCAUGAGCACUCGGCCCUUGGAGUAGGAAAAGACUUGAAGAGGGAGAAAGGCUAACAAUAUUUGGAAGAAUUGAUUACAGCUAGAGCUUGUCUGCCUGAGAAGGAGGACUAAACUUGUGGUGUGCAACCAGGAGACACUGAGACAUGCCAAUGCCUAUCCCAUAGCCUGGGAGCCUUUCCCAGUCAUCCUCAUACUGAGAGCCUUGUUACAUACCUUGCUUCAGAUGGAACCACAACAGAAAACAAAAUUACUCAAGAUAAAGUGUUAACGAAGCAGUGGUUUGAACAGUUCAGCCUGCAAGGCAUUCUGAGGACUGCCUCACUGUUGCCUGAGCUGAGGACUGUCGCUUCAAAAUUCUCUGCAGAGAGCAUAAGUGUGCAGGCAUGGGGACAGGGAAACAUUUUUCCUUACUCUUUUAGAUUCACUCAUUUUUAUUUAUGUAUGUUGCAUUUUUUGCUGAGAGAUGAAGUGCUGCGCCAAGCUCCUUCCUUGAUACUGGAGAUUCAUGAUUAAAUUCCUUACCCAACAUGCAUUUGUACAGCACCUUGCCAAGUUAGCCUCUGUACCUCAGCAUCCUCUCCAGAAAAUGGGAGAACUUGCCUGAAAUGUGCAUGCAUCCACAAACACAAUGGUUAUGAGAGUCCCGUUUCCUUCAGACCCAUGAGAUGCUAGCAAAUCCUUAUUUCCAGCAGAGGUCUGUCUCCCAUCCACUUACCAACCAACUUCCCAAUUUUCUGUGGUGGCCCAAUCUCUCGGAUGAGGGAAAGCAUGGGUAUUGUGACAUUCCCCACCACAGCAGUGCUCAUAGGACAGCAUUUAUUCAAUUCAGUUCAUCCAGCUUGCAUAGUGAACUGCUAAGUCACAAGGCUGCCUUUACAGCUUCCCUGGAGGAUGAGAUCCAGGUGGUCCCAAAGAAAUGAAGGCUGAAAGUAUGUGUGCUGAGGCAAAGAGCUCCAAAAUCUCCUGGUGAAGGCCACAGACUCUCAAAGUGUGCUGGUGGGGCUCCUGGCAAAGGACUCAGAGGGACAGCUACAAGACAGCCAUUCCUGGAAUGCAAUAUGGGGAGGCAGGGAUGCCUGCAGCAAGGUGCCACUGCGAGGAUCAACACAGAAGUCUUCCUCCGAAGUCUUGACUCAAUUUUACCAGGGCCAGAGCACGGCAGUAGCUAUACCUUGUCUUUAACACAUCUAAAUCCAAGUGAAAAGAGGAAAUGGAAUGGGCACACUUAGAAACUAACAUGCAGGCAGUGCUUGAACGGUGUUACUACUUUCUCCUUAAGUGAGUAGGAGAUGUUAAAAGCUUAAAGAAAGAAAUGGAAAGAAGGAAGAAAAAAAUGGUCACAUCUGCUCCUCUGUGAAAGUUUUCAGAAAUGCAAAAUAUCCUGCAAAGUAGGCCAGUGACUAAAUACAGACUAAAUCUUGUAGCGUGCUUCUUUCUGGAGCCCAAAAUACAUCUGGCAUGCUUGGGCACGCUGAGCUAUGCCCCUCCUCACCUAAUCUAGCCCAUGAGCUGUGGUAUUUUGAGUUGUUGCUGGGACAGAAAAGAAAUGGGUAAAAACACCACACAGGAGAGUCUGACAGACCGGCGGCUUUGCAUGACGUCUGGAAGUCUCCAGCCCAUUUUGCCCUUUUCUAUUUUCUUAAUACGCCUCUGUGAUGCCAAAUGCAAUUAAGCCUGAUCUGCUCAGCACUGGGAGAUCCUCAGCUUCACCUGUGGGACUGAUGUCAUCUCCCCAACCGGCUGCACCAGAGAGGCUACCCUGUCAGAGCACAGCGCCCUGCGGUGUGUGGCGAGGCCAGGCCUACAGGGCACAGGGCACCGGGCCCAGGCCACAGUGCACACCUCUGCGGGAUGCUGCGAUGCGUGCAUGUAGAACGACAUUGGGGCGAGUCUUCCGGCCACAGGAAGCUCAUUUGGCAUUAAAGGCAAAGUUUCUAGCUAACGUGGCCUUCUUCUCAUCAAUAAUUAGUGUGACAUUCUUGAGCCUCGUGAAGUGGGCAAUUUCAGUGGACUUAUUAACUUGCGCUUCAAUGAGAAAAACCUGACUGUUGGAAAUGCUAAGCACGUCCUCGCCAGCAGAUGACCCAGACAGCCCCUGUGAUGUUAGUUUGCCUCUUGCUGACCGUCUCCUCAGAGUUCCUCCUUCCCGGAGGAAAGGAGUAGAACGACAGCCAGAUGGGAAAGCCACAUAUUUAUGCAGUUUGAGGUAUUUUAAAAUGCAUACAGCUUGAGAAGAAAAUAAUGGGGGCUGGCUGUCGUUUUCUAGCAUGAAAAACUGUAGGAUUUGGAAUCUGAAUACCUGCAAGCUGUGUUUAGUCAGAAAAAGCAAUGCAAUAAAAACAUCCAAAGGCUGCACAACGUUGAUCCAGUUGCACUCUGAUGUCUUAAAUAAGGUUAUCGACCAAUUUUCGGACUUUGGCAUACCUAAUGGUACUCUAAAACUGGGAGCCACCUGCAGUUGGAACUCAGCACUUUUGAUUUCCCUGUGUUUGUGCUGAUCCUACUGUGCACCUCCAAAUGACGAAGAGAAAAUGAAUAGGCGUAAAGGAGAGAUGAAGGUGGAUGGAUGGCUCUGAAUUUCUCCUCUGCAGAUGCCAGACACUCCUGAGCAAAGCCACAAUCACUGCUCGAGCUGGAAUGAGCCUGCUCCGAUCAACAUCUGUGUACUCGCUUUUGCAUUUUGGGUGGCAAGCUCCAACACAUUCUGUAAUCCAUUAGAAUAAUCUCCAAACAGAAAGAGAUAUAUCUGUACUUCACUGCGAGGAAAACAAUCUCAGGACUGUCUGUAAAGCCUAAUGUCAUAGACAUAAAAAAGCUGCUGGACAUUCAGGGAUGGAUUGCCCUUUUUGCUCUGAGAAAGCAAAAAAUUUGGGCAGGCUUUUUUAUCAACUCCAAAUUCUGUCAUGUUGCCAUGUGAAACUUUUUUGCAGCAAGCCCUUGGUCUCCCAGGGUGGACAGGCCAUCCCAAUGACAAGAAUCCCAUUUCCAGUGGCCAAGGUGAACUUGCUGUACUUACAUUAACAUGCAGGGAGAGCUGCCAUACUGCAGUGUGACUCCACUUAAAGCCACCCAUCAUCUUUCAAGCAAGUAAGCCCUGGGAAAAUGGAAAGGAGGAAGCCACAGCUGGAACUGCUGGAGGCCAAGCCUGGCCUGGAGGACGACAGAGGCUGGGAGAGUGAGGCUGACUCCAGCCAUUGUCACAGAACAAGCCCGUGCUGAGCCAGCAGGACUUCAAAGGCAGCAAAACCAUUCUGGAGAAUGAAGGCUUUGGUCAAAGCUGAUUCGAGCCCUGCUCCAGUUAACGCCAGGAACCAAAUGGUCUUGUAUCACCCCAACUCUGGCUGAUUCACCGAGGCUGGGCUUACAACAUCCAUAUUAAGUGCAAAGGAAUGGGAGAACCGCUGCCAUGCGUCUCCUGGGGCUUUAUCAACUAUCUCCCCUCCCCAGCCCCACCUCUAAAGUAAGCAACCAAGAUGGACAACACACUUCUAAAAACCCUGGCUGCUGCUGACAACUCAAGUAGCAUUAUUUCAAAUUACUAAUCAACCUACAUUAACUACAUAUAGAACACAAAAUUUGCCUGUAAAAUGUUAAAGACAAUUUGGAAAUUCAAUGUUUUGCAAAUUCAAAUGCAAAGAUCCCCUUGGUAAAAAGCCAGAAUGAAGUUGCCAGAAUUCAAUAAUGGGAAUUUUCCGAUAAAGGAAAUGCGACACCUCAAUCCCCAAAUUAACUGCCAUUCUCAUUUUGUUUGGGGUUUCACUUGACUGCUGACAUGUCUUCUCCCACUGAGCUACAAGAGAACUCUAAGGCUCCCCUGAUGCCAAUGACCCUCUCUCAAGAGGGAGGUGGAAUGAGUAAGCAGUUAUCAACACACCCAACCAUCCUGACUGGCCCACGCUGGCAUCCACCAAAACCAGCAUGUCCACCAUGACAGAAGAUCAGGCACUGCUGAAAUGAGCUAGCUGACUGCUAAAAGCAGGAAAGGACCAGUGAUGGAAUUAUAAAGGUGGCAACACCGAUGCAACCACUGAAAGCUGUGGCUAUGGCUCCAUGCUGUUCAAACAGUAGCCAGCUAUGACACCUAGGAGCCUGGUGAUGACAUACACAGGGUUUAAUACUGUCUGGAGACAGGUCCAAGCCACUUCUGUCACUUGAGAGAGCUCCCUCUUUACAGUUCAGUACAUGCUGACCUGCCACCCAACAUGUCUGUUUGCCCCCAAAGAUCAACAGCUGCUGAUCUCUGUUCUUCAGAGUCCUUAUAGUGGUCCACUUCUACCUCUCACCACAGUGGAGAGACAAGAUCCUUGCGGUCCAGCUAUAAGAAAGAGUUAACACAUGGGCUGCUUCACUGUAGGCUGGUGGUGCUGCUGGAGCAAACAGGUGGCUGACAGACCUGUCACGCUGGCUGGUAACUAAAUCACUCCCGAUGUGACAUGCCAAAGAAUGUCCCACGAUUGGGUGCAUGGCUUGGCAAACACCUGCAAAAGGGACUAACUAAGGGCAUGCAGUGCUGUGAAGUAGGUCAAGCAAAGCCAGGCUUUACUCUCUGCAAAGGGUCGGUCUCCACCUCAGUGCUUUUCUGGUGCUAGAUUAAGCGCUGAAAACAGGAAAAGUUGACAUACAAAUAAAAUUAAUAUAGGGAGUUGGUCACGGACCUUGUUAUCAAGAACACUCCCUCAGAUGAGUGACUGCUGAUGGAGAGAUGACUCCAUGUUUUAUCUGAGGUUCUUCUAACCUGCAAGCAAGCCCUGGUAACAUCAGUGUUUCUGCUGUGUCAGUCCAGUGCGCAUGCCUUGGUGAAGCACAUGGAAUGGUUCUAAAGGCACAGGCAGGAUAAUGGGACAUGCGCUGCCUCCAGUGAACUGACCAGAGCAUUCAUCUGCAGCAAGAGCUCGAACAGCUAAAAUUUCUCCGCUUGCUGACCUACAAGCUAUAUAGAGAAAGUCAUUAAGGUAGCAGAAGAUAUUUCCUUGAGUACAUGGCACCAGCAAACAGUGCCAGUAACUGGUAUGCCUCAUCCUCUUAAAAAGGUGUUUAUAGCUAAGCUGUGAUGGCGAUAAUGAUGCAUUACAGCACCUCGAUGGUUGCCCGAAGGAGGAAAGACAGCAUGGAUGCAGCUGAGAGGUCAGUAAUAGCAAACAGGAUCCCAAAAGGAACCUUCCUCUCCUCCUGCCUUUCUGGAGAAGGGCAAAAAUGAGACACAGCUUCACUAGGACUCUGCUGUGACCACCACAGCUUGGAUAGGGACUUCCCUUAAUCUGCCCAACAUGAGGAAUGUGCACCUCAGCACAGCCCUGUUCAAGGGAUAAAAGAAUACAAAGAAGAUAUAAAAAGAAGUCUACAGCAGCCAGGUAUGACAACAACAUCAAGUGAAGAGGGUCCUCUGGAGAACAGGUGCAAGCGUGGAGCACAGUUCUUACAGGACUUGGAAGAAACUCCAUGGUAUGGACAAGGAAAAAGGACUCAGAAUCAGAGAAUGGCAGUGUUUGCAGGGGACCUCUAGAGAUCAUUGAGUCCAUUCUCCCUGCUAACGCAGGUUCCCUACAGUAGGUCACACAGGUAGGUGUCCAGAUUGUUCUUGAAUAUCUCCAAACACAGAGACUGUGCAACCUGUCAGGGCAACCUGUUCCAGUGCUCUGUCACUCUCAGUGUAAAGACGACUCAUUGUUAUCUUCAAAAUGAAUGAGGAUCAGCCAAAAAAAAAAAAAAAAGAUAUUAAAAACACUAAAGAAAAUCAUUAAACAAAUAAUCUACUAUUAAUAAACAACUGGUUGUUUCUGGUCACUGAGAUCUUCAGCAGUCACAGAAGGCAUUUCCUUUCAUAUCUGUUCUACACAGAAAUUAAAAAGGGAAAAUUAAUUACGCCAUUCUUACGACUGUCAGUCAGUUCCUCAGCCUUGAAUUAACUACGCAUUGAAGUGAAUCUGAUGAACACAAUGAUGUGAAAAAAAAGCAGUUGCUCUGAAACUGCGGAAUACAUUACUCCCAAAAAGGGCUUAAUAUUUCAAUCAACGCUUUCUACAAGUGUUUAACCAAUUACUUCCUGCAGUUCGAUUUCUGUCUUCUUUAAAGAUUCUGUUGAUGCGAACUCCUUUCAAUCACUUCUUGUAAUACAAGCAGCUAAACAAAUUGCAUUUAAAUUAUAUUACAGGUUUCUUUUUCCUUCAAACCUGACCAAGGAGGGUUUUAAAAUAAACACGAUCCUUUCCAGUUUUAAAAUUUCUCAACUGAGAAAAAAAAUCAUUUGCCAUUCUCCAAAGCAAUCCAGAAUGUAGACCACACUUUUCAGUCGUGUACAUUCAAUUUUGGAAGACGUUGGUGGCACUAACGUGAAAUUCAGGUAUGCAGAAGGCUAUUAUGUAUCUACUUUACAACAUAAUCGUCAGUUAUUGACAAAGGCUUUGGAAAAUUUUUAAAAUACCAAUCAGUCCCAUCAGCUCAUCUAUCAACUCCGGGCUGUUAUGCUGCCUGGGGGUCGCAAGGACUUACUCAGAAAACGUAGAGAAUUUCAUUGCACAAACUCAGAGACACAGCUGUCCACCACGCAAGCCUUCCCGGCUGAGUGCCUCCCAGGUGGACCCAACAAGACGUACACCAGGCAAGGAGCAACGCUGGGGAAACACCAGCUGCACAGAGUGAGAAGUGAUACGAAGAAAAAAGAAAUGUUCAGGUUUGCUUGUUUGCUUGCAGCAACAGACACUGAAGUUUAUUGAUUUCAGUUUCAGCAGCUAAAAAUCCAUGAAAACAUUUUAAUAUUAUACAGACAAUACUAUCCCAUAUUAAAUUUUCUAUCAAAGAAAUAGUAUAGGCCAGGAUUUUCUCACAAUCAUUGUGAUUUACUUAUCAAUUAGUACAGCAACACCUACUUUAAAAUAUAAAUAUUACGAAGUGCAAAUAGCUUUUUUAUCUCGGUAUGAUUCAGCUGUUCAAUUAUACGGAAAUAUCUAAGGAAAGAGAGUGAAAAAAGAACCCAGUGUAACAAUACAACAGUUAGCUGUAAAAAUAGCUGGACACAUUCUCAGCCACUGUCUCUCAACUGUUCCCUUUAUAUCCACUGUGAAACUGCUUCCAA